rnacentral:rRNA from 1 species
UACGUAGGGUGCGAGCGUUGUCCGGAAUUAUUGGGCGUAAAGAGCUCGUAGGCGGUUUGUUGCGUCGGCCGUGAAAACCUGCAGCUUAACUGUGGGCCUGCGGCCGAUACGGGCAGACUUGAGUUCGGUAGGGGAGACUGGAAUCCUGGUGUAGCGGUGAAAUGCGCAGAUAUCAGGAGGAACACCGGUGGCGAAGGCGGGUCUCUGGGCCGAUACUGACGCUGAGGAGCGAAAGCGUGGGGAGCGAACGG